AGUGAACGCUGGCGGUAGGCCUAACACAUGCAAGUCGAACGGCAGCACAGGAGAGCUUGCUCUCUGGGUGGCGAGUGCGGACGGGUGAGGAAUACAUCGGAAUCUACUCUGUCGUGGAGGAUAACGUAGGGAAACUUACGCUAAUACCGCAUACGACCUACGGGUGAAAGCAGGGGACCUUCGGGCCUUGCGCGAUUGAAUGAGCUGAUGUCGGAUGAGCUAGUUGGCGGGGUAAAGGCCCACCAAGGCGACGAUCCGUAGCUGGUCUGAGAGGAUGAUCAGCCACACUGGAACUGAGACACGGUCCAGACUCCUACGGGAGGCAGCAGUGGGGAAUAUUGGACAAUGGGCGCAAGCCUGAUCCAGCCAUACCGCGUGGGUGAAGAAGGCCUUCGGGUUGUAAAGCCCUUUUGUUGGGAAAGAAAUCCAGCUGGCUAAUACCCGGUUGGGAUGACGGUACCCAAAGAAUAAGCACCGGCUAACUUCGUGCCAGCCGCCGCGGUAA
rnacentral:rRNA from 1 species